rnacentral:rRNA from 1 species
UACGUAGGUGACCAGCGUUGUCCGGAUUUACUGGGCGUAAAGAGCGCGCAGGCGGUCGUUCAAGUCGAGUGUGAAAGCCCCCGGCUCAACUGGGGAGGGUCACUCGAUACUGAUCGACUUGAAGGCAGGAGAGGGAAGCGGAAUUCCCGGUGUAGUGGUGAAAUGCGUAGAUAUCUGGAGGAACACCGGUGGCGAAGGCGGCAUCCUGGACCGACAUUGACGCUGAGGCGCGAAAGCCAGGGGAGCAAACGGG